GGAUGAUUGCCGCCCACGGCGCACACAAUUGAUUUCGUAUAUACGAGUGCGGUAUUAUUCGUAAACUGCAAUUUUUUUUUAAAAAAAAUCCCGUCCAUGUUUGAAAUUGAAUAUUUUUUUAUUCGAUAAGCCGUCGCGCCGAGUACUAUAGUAUAAGUGCAUAGCACCGUCACUCGUCAUUUUCCGUUCUCUUCGUAUAAUAUCGUUUUAGCUUUUAGCUCGAAAACUAUUU